rnacentral:lncRNA from 1 species
AGAUCCCGCGCGCGGGCGCGCAAUCUGCUCCAGGCUCCGGGGAAACUUUGGGGCUGCUGGUUGGCAACAGUGGACUAAUGUCCUCAGCACGAAGGCUGCCGGCUGCAAGAGGAGAAGGGACCCCAACCCCGAUGGCACCUCCUGCUAGCCCAAGGGCCAAGAGAUCCGAUUCCUGCACCUUUAUUUCCAGCUUUGACCAAGCCAUGCAGGAUGUGGCAUUCUCACCAACAUACAAGGUUUCAGUAAGAUGGUCUGUAAUAGCCCUGCUGCCUCAGAGUGUGUAAAGCAAACUAUCAUUGUCAGCAUAUAGUUAUAUACUGAUGAGUCCAACCUUCAAAGGCUAGAGAUUUUUCUUCACUAAAUCUAUGGGAACAAGAUUUUCUUACUCAACUGCAGAAGCUUCAUAACAUUCUGUUUAUGUCUGAGUCUGGUCUUUGAAAACUGAAAAGCAAACAUUCUCUAUUUUGUUUUUAUUUGCAUUUGUCUGUGCCAUGUGUCCCCUGAAGUAAGUCAUACAAUGUACAAGAAUAAAAAUAAAUUUAAGCCAAAAGAAGAAAUGACAUAAGAUGCUAUCUAGCAUGUUUGUGUCCUGAUUGUUAGUGGCCACAUAGAUAUUUGUGUCUCCUUUACUUUUGUUAUUGUGAAAAGCUACAAUAAAUAUUAUUGUUCAUAAAGCUUAAGAUCUAUGUUUGAAUAUGACAAUGAAAACCUUAUCAUGGGAAUUCCUGGGACAAAAGGUGUGUUUUCAAUGUUGAUGAUGUCAUCACUUUCCCCUCUACAACAAAUAAACUGAAACCCAUCUUCCAUAGGG